rnacentral:rRNA from 1 species
GUGGGGAAUAUUGCGCAAUGGGGGAAACCCUGACGCAGCAACGCCGCGUGAAGGAUGAAGGUUUUCGGAUCGUAAACUUCUUUGAUGAGGGACGAAACAAAUGACGGUACCUCAAAAACAAGCCACGGCUAACUACGUGCCAGCAGCCGCGGUAAUACGUAGGUGGCGAGCGUUGUCCGGAAUUACUGGGUGUAAAGGGCGUGUAGGCGGGAAUGUAAGUCAGAUGUGAAAUACCGAGGCUUAACUUCGGGGCUGCAUCUGAAACUAUGUUUCUUGAGUGUCGGAGAGGAAAGUGGAAUUCCCAGUGUAGCGGUGAAAUGCGUAGAUAUUGGGAGGAACACCAGUGGCGAAGGCGACUUUCUGGACGAUAACUGACGCUGAGGCGCGAAAGCGUGGGGAGCAAACAGGAUUAGAAACCCUUGUAGUCC